rnacentral:rRNA from 1 species
GAUGAACGCUAGCGGCAGGCCUAAUACAUGCAAGUCGAACGGUGUCUUCGGACAUAGUGGCGCACGGGUGCGUAACACGUAUGCAACCUACCUUACAUUGGGGGAUAGCCUUUCGAAAGGGAGAUUAAUACCGCAUAAGACAGUAGCUGGGCAUCCAGCAGCUGUUAAAGAUUUAUCGAUGUAAGCUGGGCAUGCGUCCAAUUAGCUAGUUGGUGAGGUAACGGCUCACCAAGGCAAUGAUUGGUAGGGGAACUGAGAGGUCAAUCCCCCACACUGGCACUGAGAAACGGGCCAGACUCCUACGGGAGGCAGCAGUAGGGAAUAUUGGGCAAUGGACGCAAGUCUGACCCAGCCAUGCCGCGGGCAGGAAGAAGGCGUUAUGCGUUGUAAACUGCUUUUAUACAGGAAGAAACGACUCUUGCGAGAGGCAUUGACGGUACUGUAUGAAUAAGCACCGGCUAACUCCGUGCCAGCCGCCGCAGUAACAC